AGCGAACGCUGGCGGCAGGCCUAACACAUGCAAGUCGAACGAACUCUUCGGAGUUAGUGGCGGACGGGUGAGUAACACGUGGGAACGUGCCUUUAGGUUCAGAAUAACUCAGGGAAACUUGUGCUAAUACCGAAUGUGCCCUUCGGGGGAAAGAUUUAUCGCCUUUAGAGCGGCCCGCGUCUGAUUAGCUAGUUGGUGAGGUAAAGGCUCACCAAGGCGACGAUCAGUAGCUGGUCUGAGAGGAUGAUCAGCCACAUUGGGACGGAGACACGGCCCAAACUCCUACGGGAGGCAGCAGUUGGGAAUCUUGCGCAAUGGGCGAAAGCCUGACGCAGCCAUGCCGCGUGAAUGAUGAAGGUCUUAGGAUUGUAAAAUUCUUUCACCGGGGACGAUAAUGACGGUACCCGGAGAAGAAGCCCCGGCUAACUUCGUG
rnacentral:rRNA from 1 species